GUGGGGAAUAUUGGACAAUGGGCGAAAGCCUGAUCCAGCCAUGCCGCGUGUGUGAAGAAGGUCUUCGGAUUGUAAAGCACUUUAAGUUGGGAGGAAGGGCAGUAAGUUAAUACCUUGCUGUUUUGACGUUACCAACAGAAUAAGCACCGGCUAACUUCGUGCCAGCAGCCGCGGUAAUACGAAGGGUGCAAGCGUUAAUCGGAAUUACUGGGCGUAAAGCGCGCGUAGGUGGUUUUGUAAGUUGAAGGUGAAAUCCCCGGGCUCAACCUGGGAACUGCCUCCAAAACUGCAUGACUAGAGUACGGUAGAGGGUAGUGGAAUUUCCUGUGUAGCGGUGAAAUGCGUAGAUAUAGGAAGGAACACCAGUGGCGAAGGCGACUACCUGGACUGAUACUGACACUGAGGUGCGAAAGCGUGGGGAGCAAACAGGAUUAGAUACCCUUGUAGUCC
rnacentral:rRNA from 1 species